rnacentral:lncRNA from 1 species
GCAUCCAAAUACGAUUGACUUGAUUAACACUAGUAUCUACUAAUAAGUAACGUAUACAAAAAACAUAAUUAGGAACAGAUGAUUUAAUUGAACGUUUCAAGAUUUAAAAGAAAAAGAUUACGAAACCGAAGUUUUAUUAAAAAAAAAUUGAGGGAAAAAACGUUAUGAGGAGCGACCACGAGAAUGCGAAGAGAAGAAGAAAGAGUCCUUUGGAUCCCCUGACAUGCUCACAAGUCACAACACAUGCGUCCCUCCCGGCUCCUCUUAGCUGUCUCCAUUUUUUGUUAACCCAACUUGCUUCAAUUAUUGUAUCCAAAAUCUAAUAAUACUACUCGAUUUUCGUUUUCUUUCACAGAAUUGGUGUAGAAAAAAUAUGAGGGCGUGGAUGGUUGCAAAAGAUCGGAAUAGAUAAAUCUAUCGGCGUUUUAGUCUUGAGACGGACAACAAACCGCAACUCUAUUUGUACAUAAAAACUGUAUGCAAUAGCAGUUUUCUUUUGUUUCUUUGAAACCGCACUACUACAUAUAUAAUUAUUAGUGAAUAGUAAAUAAAAAAUAAUCUUGUCUAUAGAUGAUUUUGUCCGACUAAACCGCUGUAACCACUCACACCUACAACUUUUUUUAAAAACCAACAUCUAACUUUUAACUCUUCCUUAUAACCCAACAGGGUACAAAUACUAAUAGUAGCAAAAUCUAGUCACCAUUAAUUUUGUUAACGACCCAACAUUUCCAUAAAUCAUAUUACCUUUCUUUUUUUUGGGUGGAAAUCAAAUCACAUUACCAUUUUGUUCUCAAUGUGUUUUUUUUAAUAAAGUUUUUUUUUUUUUUUUUGGUCUACUACAUAAAGUUUUUCUUCUAUUUGAGGUUAAAAAGAGUAAAAAAAAAGUUCCCCUUUAAAAAAGCAGAACCGGCCACAAAUACAAUAGAAGAGACGAAUCCAACGGCCCAGAUAAAAUAUUGGUUCCAGAUUUUAC